rnacentral:rRNA from 1 species
GACGAACGCUGGCGGCGUGCUUAACACAUGCAAGUCGAACGGAAAGGCCCUGCUUUUGUGGGGUGCUCGAGUGGCGAACGGGUGAGUAACACGUGAGUAACCUGCCCUUGACUUUGGGAUAACUUCAGGAAACUGGGGCUAAUACCGGAUAGGAGCUCCAGCUGCAUGGUGGGGGGUGGAAAGUUUCGGCGGUUGGGGAUGGACUCGCGGCUUAUCAGCUUGUUGGUGGGGUAGUGGCUUACCAAGGCUUUGACGGGUAGCCGGCCUGAGAGGGUGACCGGCCACAUUGGGACUGAGAUACGGCCCAGACUCCUACGGGAGGCAGCAGUGGGGAAUAUUGCACAAUGGGCGGAAGCCUGAUGCAGCAACGCCGCGUGCGGGAUGACGGCCUUCGGGUUGUAAACCGCUUUCGCCUGUGACGAAGCGUGAGUGACGGUAAUGGGUAAAGAAGCACCGGCUAACUACGUG